AGCGGAGGAAAAGAAACCAACAGGGAUUGCCUCAGUAACGGCGAGUGAAGCGGCAACAGCUCAAAUUUGAAAUCUGGCGGCCUCUGGGCCGUCCGAGUUGUAAUUUGAAGAGGAUGCUUUUGGCGAGGCGCCUUCCGAGUGCCCUGGAACGGGACGCCACAGAGGGUGAGAGCCCCGUAUGGUUGGACGCCGAGCCUCUGUAAAGCUCCUUCGACGAGUCGAGUAGUUUGGGAAUGCUGCUCAAAAUGGGAGGUAAACCCCUUCUAAAGCUAAAUACUGGCCAGAGACCGAUAGCGCACAAGUAGAGUGAUCGAAAGAUGAAAAGCACUUUGAAAAGAGAGUUAAAUAGCACGUGAAAUUGUUGAAAGGGAAGCGCUUGCGACCAGACUUGUGCCCGUCGAAUCAGCCGCCGCUCGCCGGCGGCGCACUUCGGCGGGCUCAGGCCAGCAUCAGUUCGCUGCAGGGGGAGAAAGGCGGCGGGAAUGUGGCUCUUCGGAGUGUUAUAGCCCGCCGCGCAAUACCCCUCGGCGGACUGAGGACCGCGCAUCUGCAAGGAUGCUGGCGUAA
rnacentral:rRNA from 1 species